UCCGCACACAGCUCCCACAUCAGACGGCAGC
rnacentral:piRNA from 1 species